rnacentral:sRNA from 1 species
GCUUUCGCAAAAUCGAAAGCCAGCCGUGAGAAGCUGAAUAAUUUACAAUUGGCGAACAGCACGCCGUUAAACCGUGCUUUUU